GCGUCCUUAGUUCAGUUGGUAGAACAUCGGUCUCCAAAGCCGAGUGUCGUGGGUUCGAGUCCUACAGGGCGCG
rnacentral:tRNA from 1 species